rnacentral:piRNA from 1 species
UGGUUUAAAACUAGCCCGGGCUACAUGAA